AUACUACUCCCUCUGUCCGGAAUUACUUGUCGCUCAAACAGAUGUAUCUAGCACUGAAAUAUGUCUAGAUACAUCCAUUUUAGCGACAACCAACUCCGGACAGAGGUAGUACUAU
rfam:Triticum aestivum genome assembly, contig: Triticum_aestivum_CS42_TGACv1_scaffold_081270_1DS